rnacentral:rRNA from 1 species
GUUGCUUUGGCGGGCCCAUAGGGGCCACCUGGUCGCCGGGGGACGCACGUCUCCGGGCCCGCGCCCGCCGAAGCGCUCUGUGAACCCUGAUGAAGAUGGGCUGUCUGAGUACUGUGAAAAUUGU